UAAAAUUAUGCACCGGAGUAUAAGCCGCACCAGUCACUAUGUCCAUUAUAAAGAAAAAUAAACCAUAAAUAAGUCGCACUGGACUAUAAGUCGCUUGGACAUACAGGUAUGUUAACUUAACAUGAAAAGUUCAGAUGAUAAUAUUGCGACGACAACC